rnacentral:rRNA from 1 species
UACAGAGGUCUCAAGCGUUGUUCGGAUUCAUUGGGCGUAAAAGGUGCGUAGGCGGCGCGGUAAGUCGGGUGUGAAAUCUCGGAGCUUAACUCCGAAACUGCAUUCGAUACUGCCGUGCUUGAGGACUGGAGAGGAGACUGGAAUUUACGGUGUAGCGGUGAAAUGCGUAGAUAUCGGGAGGAACACCUGUGGCGAAAGCGGCGCACUGGACCAUAACUGACGCUGAGGCGCGAAAGCUAGGGGAGCAAACAGG